rnacentral:rRNA from 1 species
GACGAACGCUGGCGGCGUGCUUAACACAUGCAAGUCGAACGGAAAGGCCCUGCUUUUGUGGGGUGCUCGAGUGGCGAACGGGUGAGUAACACGUGAGUAACCUGCCCUUGACUUUGGGAUAACUUCAUGAAACUGGGGCUAAUACCGCAUAGGAGCUCCUGCUGCAUGGUGGGGGUUGGAAAGUUUCGGCGGUUGGGGAUGGACUCGCGGCUUAUCAGCUUGUUGGUGGGGUAGUGUCUUACCAAGGCUUUGACGGGUAGCCGGCCUGAGAGGGUGACCGGACACAUUGGGACUGAGAUACGGCCCAGACUCCUACGGGAGGCAGCAGUGGAGAAUAUUGCACAAUGGGCGGAAGCCUGAUGCAGCAACGCCGCGUGCGGGAUGACGGCCUUCGGGUUGUAAACCGCUUUCGCCUGUGACGAAGCGUGAGUGACGGUAAUGGGUAAAGAAGCACCGGCUAACUACGUG